CACGUAGGGGCCAAGCGUUGUCCGGAUUUAUUGGGCGUAAAGAGCUCGUAGGUGGUUUGUCGCGUUGUUCGUGAAAACUCACAGCUUAACUGUGGGCGUGCGGGCGAUACGGGCAGACUGGAGUACUGCAGGGGAGACUGGAAUUCCUGGUGUAGCGGUGAAAUGCGCAGAUAUCAGGAGGAACACCGAUGGCGAAGGCAGGUCUCUGGGCAUUAACUGACGCUGAGGAGCGAAAGCAUGGGGAGCGAACAGG
rnacentral:rRNA from 1 species